CCUACGGGAGGCAGCAGUGGGGAAUAUUGCACAAUGGGGGAAACCCUGAUGCAGCGACGCCGCGUGAGUGAAGAAGUAUUUCGGUAUGUAAAGCUCUAUCAGCAGGGAAGAAAAUGACGGUACCUGAGUAAGAAGCCCCGGCUAACUACGUGCCAGCAGCCGCGGUAAUACGUAGGGGGCAAGCGUUAUCCGGAUUUACUGGGUGUAAAGGGAGCGUAGACGGUGAUGCAAGUCAGAAGUGAAAGCCCGGGGCUCAACUCCGGGACUGCUUUUGAAACUGUGUGACUGGAGUGCAGGAGAGGUAGGCGGAAUUCCUGGUGUAGCGGUGAAAUGCGUAGAUAUCAGGAGGAACACCAGUGGCGAAGGCGGCUUACUGGACUGUAACUGACGUUGAGGCUCGAAAGCGUGGGGAGCAAACAGGAUUAGAUACCCGAGUAGUC
rnacentral:rRNA from 1 species